rnacentral:tRNA from 1 species
GUGGUUGUGACUCAGUGGUAGAGCACUCUCCUAGCACACUUGGUGCCCUGAGUUCAAUCCUCAGCACCACA